CCUACGGGAGGCAGCAGUGAGGAAUAUUGGUCAAUGGACGAGAGUCUGAACCAGCCAAGUAGCGUGAAGGAUGACUGCCCUAUGGGUUGUAAACUUCUUUUAUAAAGGAAUAAAACGAGGCACGUGUGCCUUUUUGCAUGUACUUUAUUAAUAAGGAUCGGCUAACUCCGUGCCAGCAGCCGCGGUAAUACGGGGGAUCCGAGCGUGAUCCGGAUUUAUUGGGUUUAAAGGGAGCGUAGAUGGGUUGUUAAGUCAGUUGUGAAAGUUUGCGGCUCAACCGUAAAAUUGCAAUUGAUACUGGCAGUCUGAAGUACAGUUGAGGUAGGCGGAAUUGGUGGUGAAGCGGUGAAAUGCUUAGAGAUCACGAAGAACCCCGAUUGCGAAGGCAGCGUACGAAACUGUGACUGACAUUGAUGCUCGAAGUGUGGGUAUCAAACAGGAUUAGAUACCCCAGUAGUC
rnacentral:rRNA from 1 species